rnacentral:tRNA from 1 species
GCGGUUGUGACACAGUGGUAGAGUGCUCACCUAGCAUGUGUGAGGCACUGGAUUCAAUCCUCAGCACCACA